UCCCUGGUGGCUCAGAGGUUAAAGCGUCUGCCUCCAAUGCAGGAGACCCGGGUUUGAUCCCCGGGUGGGGAA
rnacentral:tRNA from 2 species